rnacentral:rRNA from 1 species
UACGUAGGGACCAAGCGUUGUUCGGAUUUACUGGGCGUAAAGGGCGCGUAGGCGGCCUAGCAAGUCAGUUGUGAAAUCUCCGGGCUUAACUCGGAAAGGUCAACUGAUACUGUGCGACUAGAGUGCGGAAGGGGCAACUGGAAUUCUCGGUGUAGCGGUGAAAUGCGUAGAUAUCGAGAGGAACACCUGCGGCGAAGGCGGGUUGCUGGGCCGACACUGACGCUGAUGCGCGAAAGCCAGGGGAGCGAACGGG